rnacentral:rRNA from 1 species
GACGAACGCUGGCGGCGUGCUUAACACAUGCAAGUCGUGCGGUGUCGAAGGCAAGUCUUACGACAAGCCUUCGACACAGCGGCGAACGGGUGAGUAACACGUGAGUAGCUGUCCUAAGGAGGGGGAUAACGCCUGGAAACGGGUGCUAACACCCCAUAUGCCUCGCAAGAGGUGAAAGUGUACUUGCUACAGCCUUAGGGUGUGCUCGCGGCCUAUCAGCUAGUUGGUGAGGUAACGGCUCACCAAGGCUAAGACGGGUAGCCGGCCUGAGAGGGUGUACGGCCACACUGGAAUUGAGAUACGGUCCAGACUCCUACGGGAGGCAGCAGUGGGGAAUCUUGGGCAAUGGGCGAAAGCCUGACCCAGCGACGCCGCGUUGGGGAUGAAGCCCUUCGGGGCGUAAACCCAUGUUGUAGGGGACGAAGAAAGUGACGGUACCCUACGAGAAAGCCCCGGCCAACUACGUG